rnacentral:rRNA from 1 species
UUUUAGAAAUUAAUUUAAAGUCUAACCUGCCCACUGAAUAAUUUUAAAUGGCCGCAGUACCCUAACUGUGCAAAGGUAGCAUAAUCAUUAGUCUUUUAAUUGAAGGCUGGAAUGAAUGGUUGGAUGAAAUAUUAACUGUUUCAUAAAAAUUUAUAAUAGAAUUUUAUUUUUUAGUCAAAAAGCUAAAAUAUAAUUAAAAGACGAGAAGACCCUAUAAAUCUUUAUAUUUAAAUAAUUUUAAUUAUUUAGAUAAAUUAAAUUAUAAUUAUUUUAAAUAUUUUAUUGGGGUGAUAUUAAAAUUUAAUAAACUUUUAAUUUGUUAUAAACAUAAAUUAAUGAAUUGUUGAUCCAUUUAUUAUGAUUAAAAAAUUAAGUUACUUUAGGGAUAACAGCGUAAUUUUUUUAGAGAGUUCAUAUUGAUAAAAAAGAUUGCGACCUCGAUGUUGGAUUAAGAUACAGUUUUAGGUGCAGCAGCUUAAACUUAAAGUCUGUUCGACUUUUAAAUUCUUACA